UACGAAGGGUGCAAACGUUGCUCGGAAUUAUUGGGCGUAAAGCGCACGUAGGCGGCUAUCUAAGUCGGAUGUGAAAUCCCUCGGCUCAACCAAGGAAGUGCAUCCGAAACUGCUGAGCUUGAGUACGAAAGAGGAUCGCGGAAUUCCCGGUGUAGAGGUGAAAUUCGUAGAUAUCGGGAGGAACACCAGUGGCGAAGGCGGCGAUCUGGGUCGAUACUGACACUCAACUACGAAAGCGUGGGUAGCAAACAGG
rnacentral:rRNA from 1 species